AUGGACGAUUGUUUGAAAAGUGUAGCGUCAGAGGAAGAGGGCAUCUUGAUGAUUAAAGAUCUCACAACUGUUUGUUUAACAGGAGGUUUCCAGUUAACAAAAUGGGUUAGUAAUAGCCGUGCUGUGCUGCAAACUGUAUCUGAAGAACAUAGAGCCCAUGGGAUAAAAAUGAUGGACCUGGACAAAGAUCAACUACCAAUGGAAAGAGCUCUUGGUUUGUGGUGGUGUGUUGAGUCAGAUACUUUCAAGUUUAAAAUGACUAUCAAAGAUCAUCCUUGUACCAGGCAUGGAGUUCUAUCGACAGUAUGCGCUGUAUAUGACCCUUUAGGAUUUUUGGCACCAUUUACUCUCACAGCAAAAAUAAUUCUGCAGGAGCUUUGUAGGACAAGAUGUGAAUGGGAUGAAUCACUACCCUCAAAUCUCCAAAGACAAUGGUCUCUAUGGUUGAAAGAGCUUGGGAGGAUUGCAGACUUCAAGGUGGAUAGAUGUCUAAAACCAACAGGGAUGGACAAGCCUACUAGCGUUCAGUUGCAUCAUUUUGCAGAUGCAAGUACCCUUGGAUAUGGCACUGUAACAUAUCUUAGGAUGAAUACAAAUCUUGGCGUCCAUGUAACUUUCCUACUCAGCAAAGCUAGAGUAGCACCUUUAAAACAAGUAACCAUUCCACGUCUUGAAUUGACAGCUGCUGUACUUGCUGCUCGAGUGGACAAGAUGUUGAAGGCAGAGAUACAGUUUCCAUUGGGGGACUCUGUGUUUUGGACAGACAGUACGUCUGUGUUAAAAUACAUAAAAAAUGAGGACAAACGUUUUCUUACCUUUGUGGCCAACAGAAUCUCUGCAAUAAGAGAAAUGACAACACCAUUACAGUGGAGAUACAUACCUACGUCUCAAAAUCCAGCAGACUGUUGCUCCAGGGAUCUGAAAGCCGACCAGCUGUUAACAAACAGAGACUGGCUCAAUGGACCAGGUUAUCUGAGGAAACCAGUUGAAGAAUGGCCAGUUCAAAUAUUUGAUUGUACUCUUAAAGCAGAUGAUCUUGAGGUAAAGAGAAACAUGUAUGUAAAUAGCACUGUUGUAAAUGAAAUACCAAUUGCAACAAAUGCUACUCAUUGGCUGAUUACUCAUUUUUCAGACUGGACAAAGUUGAAGGUUGGUGUUGCUUGGCUCUUGAAGUUAAAGAAAAUUCUGAAACAAAGGAGUCAAAAGCGGAAGGAAAUUCAAGCCUCUUUGGAUUCUUCUGGAGUAUUAAUUUCUUCUCCUCUUUGGAUUCUUCUUGGUAGUAUUAAUUUACUUCUAAGAAGAUAG
rnacentral:lncRNA from 1 species